rnacentral:rRNA from 1 species
CCCUUAGAUGUCCUGGGCCGCACGCGCGCUACACUGAACGGAUCAGCGCGUUUUCCCUUCCCGAGAGGGACGGGUAACCUGCUGAACCCCGUUCGUGGUAGGGAUCGGGGCUUGCAAUUAUUCCCCGUGAACCAGGAAUGCCCAGUAAGUGCAAGUCAUAAGCUUGCGUUGAUUACGUCCCUGCCCUUUGUACACACCGCCCGUCGCACCUACCGAUUGAAUGGUCCGGUGAAGCCUCGGGAUUGCGAAUGCUUCGUGCGGACGCGAGAACUUGGCUAAACCUUACCAUUUAGAGGAAGGUGAAGUCGUAACA